rnacentral:lncRNA from 7 species
GUCCUGCAGGUGCUGGCUAGCUCUGGCUUUGAUCUUUCUUUUCCCUUUAGCCCACAGCCUGCCCUCUCAUUUCAUGCUCAGACUCCUAAUGCUGAGUACAAAUUGCAAUGUACAGAGUACCACUGCCAAUUUGCCAAAUGUCUUUCAUCAAACACACUGCAAAAAAAAAAAAAUCUCAGAGGGAAGUCAAGAUACAUUUACUUGUCAGGCAACAAAUGGGAAAGCAUUGCGAGGCAGUAGGGGCUGUAAGCUCUGGGGUUUGAUUCAUAAUCACUCAGCUGCUAAAACAUUCUCCACAGAUGCAAGUGGACAGCACAUUUGUCAAUAUGAAGGAUUUUGACAUGUACUGAUCACAGGCAUGAGAUAUGUAAUGAUGAUGCUGCUGGGAGAGGAGGUAAUUCUAUCUCGGCAGAGAGAUGUCAUUAUCAACCCAUAUGACUCAACAUUACCAUAUAUUUAUUUUUAUAGGACUUCAUAUUUUUCUGCGGAUUUUGCAGAGCAGAAAUGGAGAAUGAAUCUUCUCUCAUGUACAGUGCUAUAGGUCAGUACCAGCCCCUCUCUGCCACCAGGACUACAUCAGUCCUGAAACAGAUAAUUAUUAAUCCAGAAAGCUUUCCCCGUUCUGCAGAGCUUCUUUAGGAGCAAUCAGUGAGAACCCCUCCUUCAGCUGAAACACAACCCAAGCAGCGUUUACUCCUCCAAAACCCCAAGCUUCCAGAGCAAGCUGCUACAGCAUCAGUCUCAGUAGGGUGCUUUGCUCCAGGGACGGUCCUUGCACACCACCAGGGAUGGAAGCUUUGGGGGAUCUGAGCCCCAGCAGGCACCCAGGGCUGCAGCCAUCCCGCAGUGGGCACAGGGAGGAAGGCAUGACCCCAAGGAGGGGAUUAGCGUAAUUGCCGCGUCCAUGGAGAAAGCCCUCAGAGGAGGCAGGAGAGCAAGGAGGUCCCAUUACAUAUUUUACACUGCAGUUAUGGCCUUACAGACAAGUCAUGUCUGCUCCUAAUCUGAGAUCAGUGAGUGACAGCGUUUUAUAGGGAGCAGUAACUUUUGAUUUACAUAUAGGAGUUGUUGAUUCAAUCUACGUCCAGAUGUCUGGAAAAGGAAGCAGCUUCCCCCCACCUCCCUCCUGCUCCCUGAGAGCCCAUUAACCUCCUACUGACGCAAACUAAUAUGUAGUCACAAUUCCCCAGCUCGGACUCAGAAAUGCAGACAUUACCAUAAUCGGCUAAAACAAGUAUUUAUAAACAUUUCAAUGGGCAAGAUACCAUCAGCAGGGGUCCUGAAUAUUUGUCUUAAAAUUUAUUAACCAACCACAGAGAAAGUGUCAUAAAUAAAGCAAGGUUUGUUGUUGCUGCUUUUUAAGAAUAACCUGAUGAUAUGAAAUAAUCUAGCAGACAAUGUCAUCAAUUACAUGACCUAAUGUUUUACUAACUAGACUCCUUCGACGCUACUAUCAUAAAAACAACUGACUUUAUGGUCACAACUCAUGGGAAAAUAAUUGUUCAAAUGUUUGCUUUCUAUUUUUACUACUGUUAUUUAGGGAAAUCUUGAAAACCCAACUACUGAAGUUCAGAAUUUCUUCCUCCCCGGUUCAAGUCAUGCUGCUCUCUCUAAAAAUUACAACUUGUGAAUUGGUUGUAAUGUAUCUGGCCAUCCAGCCACUUGGCUGAGCUGUGCCGUGCCCAAAGACCUUGCACACGUGGCUGAACUCUAUGGAGGAGCUGUGAGAAACUCCAGCUGAUCUCCAGCUCAGACCCACAAAAACUCUACUUGGGUUAAUGUUGUUGGUGAGCACUUGGCUAAUCUAACAGAAUGGAUCAUGCCUUAAAAUACACCCUGUAAAAUAAAAGCUUUGUUAAU